CACGGAGAGGGGCCAGAAUAAGCAGUGAGAACGGGACUCGGAGUUCCCUGAGAAUGAUAACAUUCUCCACAUCCCGCAGACCCCAAAUAAACCCACGUCGUCCUCAGGCACUGCCGAGGCCUGAGGAGAGGAGGGAGAUGGUGACUGCAGUCACGAAAUUAAAUGAUGCAAGCUCUGGGAGUUGGUGAUGGACAGGGAAGCCUGGUGUGCUGCAGUCCAUGGAGUUACAGAGUUGGACACGACUGAGCGACUGAACUGCACUGAAUUUGCUUUAUAAUGCUGUGUUAACUUCUGCUGUACAACAAUGUGAAUCAGCACCAUUUUAGGCAUUUUUAAAUGUACAGUUCAGUGACAUCAGGCUUCCCUGGUGGUUCAGGUGGUAAAGAAUCUACCUGCAAUGCAGAAGACCUGAGUUGGGAAGAUCCCUUGGGGAAGGAAAUGGCAACCCACUCCAGUAUUCUUGCCUGAAGAAUUCCAUGGACAAAGGAGGCUGAGGGGCUACAGUCCGUGGGGUCACAAAGAGUCGGACAAGACUGAGUGACUAACACCUUGCACAUCAGUGACAGUCUUCACCUAGAGCCAGACAUCCUGGAGUGUGAAGUCAAGUGGGCCUUAGGAAGCAUCACUACAAACAAAGUGAGUGGAGGUGAUGGAAUUCCAGUGGAGCUAUUUCAAAUCUUGAAAGGUGAUGCUGUGAAAAUGCUGCAUUCAAUAUGCCAGCAAAUUUGGAAAACUCACCAGUGGCCACAGGACUGGAAAAGGUCAGUAUUCCAAUCCCUAAGAAAGGCAAUGCCAAAGAAUGCUCAAACUACUACACAAUUGCGCUCACCUCACACGCUAGUAAAGUAAUGUUCAAAAUUCUCCAAGCCAGGCUUAAGCAAUAUGUGAACUGUGAACUACCAGAUGUUGAAGCUGGUUUUAGAAAAGGCAGAGGAACCAGAGAUCAAAUUGCCAACAUCCAUUGGAUCAUCAAAAAAGCAAGGGAGUUCCAGGAAAACAUCUAUUUCUGCUUUAUUGACUAUACCAAAGCCUUCCAAAGCCUUUGACUGUGUGGAUCACAAUAAACUGUGGAAAAUUCUGAAAGAGAUGAGAAUACCAG
ensembl:lncRNA